rnacentral:rRNA from 1 species
GAUGAACGCUGGCGGCGUGCUUAACACAUGCAAGUCGAACGAAGCAAUCUAACGGAAGUUUUCGGAUGGAAGCUGGAUUGACUGAGUGGCGGACGGGUGAGUAACGCGUGGGUAACCUGCCUCACACUGGGGGACAACAGUUAGAAAUGACUGCUAAUACCGCAUAAGCGCACAGGACCGCAUGGUCUAGUGUGAAAAAAUCCGGUGGCAUGUGAGAUGGACUCGCGUUUGAUUAGCAAGUUGGCGGGGUAACGGCCUACCAAGGCGACGAUCAAUCGCCGAACUCAGAGGGGGACGGACCACAUUGGCACUGAGACACGUCCCAAACUCCUACGGGAGGCAGCCGUGGGGAAUAUUGCACAAUGGGGGAAACCCUGAUGCAGCGACGCCGCGUGAGUGAAAAAGUAUUUCGGUAUGUAAAGCUCUAUCAGCAGGGAAGAAAAUGACGGUACCUGACUAAGAAGCCCCGGCUAACUACGUGCCAGCCGCCGCGGUAA